UGCGAGACCGAUAGCGAACAAGUACCGUGAGGGAAAGAUGAAAAGAACUUUGAAAAGAGAGUUAAAGAGUACCUGAAACUGCUGAAAGGGAACCGAAUCGUAUCCAGUGUCUAUAAUCCAUGGCAUAUUUCAUUGGCGAGUGAGUGCGUGCAGCGUUUUGGAAGUGGUUUUCCGCUCCUGUCGUUGUUGUGCAUUUGCUUGCUGGUGCCCUGUGCUGUGGUGGGACGUCAGAGUCAGUUUGUGUGUCGCGGGAAAUGGUUAUUGGGGAGGUAGGUCGCUUCGGUGGCUAUUAUAUCCUGGUAACUAGUCGUCGUGGCUGAGACUGAGGUGCCUACAAUGUGCUUUCGAGUGUGCGGGUUUCUCGUGUGGCUGUUUGCUUUGAUAGCUUGCUAUGUUGGUGAAUAAGUUGUGCGAUUGAGACCUGUAUUAACUUGUUGCUGUUCGGGACUUUGA
rnacentral:rRNA from 2 species